UUGAAAUGAUGAAGUGGGACACUGAUCUGG
rnacentral:piRNA from 1 species